CGUGCCCGCCGGAUCGCAGCCAUGACUGAGGCCGAUGUGAAUCCCAAGGCCUAUCCUCUUGCAGAUGCUCAUCUCACCAAGAAACUGUUAGAUCUUGUUCAGCAGUCAUGUAACUACAAGCAGCUUCGGAAAGGAGCCAAUGAGGCCACCAAAACCCUCAACAGAGGCAUCUGAGUUCAUUGUGAUGGCAGCAGAUGCCGAGCCCCUGGAGAUCAUCCUGCACCUACCCCUGCUGUGCGAAGACAAGAAUGUGCCCUACGUGUUCGUGGGCUCUAAGCAGGCCCUGGGGCGAGCCUGCGGGGUUUCCAGGCCUGUCAUUGCCUGUUCUGUCACCAUCAAAGAAGGCUCUCAGCUGAAGCAGCAGAUCCAGUCCAUUCAGCAGUCCAUUGAAAGGCUCUUCUUUGGCCUCAGCCCUGGUCUCAGCCACACGCCCCCUCACCCCCUGAAGUCGUGUAUCAUAUUGUCAGUGUUAGCAUGUAGUAUUUUCAAUGCCUUUCUAUUAUAAAGUAUUGUACUAAAUCUG